rfam:Eutrema salsugineum unplaced genomic scaffold scaffold_3, whole genome shotgun sequence.
AAACCAUGGUCUGGACACUGAUUGGUGUAGCUUCUAAACCUCUCCCAAGCUUCCCCAAAGCUUUCACUGUUAUGUUGCUUGAAGCUUGAGAUCUGGUUUCUCAACUU